rnacentral:piRNA from 2 species
GUAAGAUGAUGUGGGUGACCCCCAUUGG